rnacentral:tRNA from 1 species
CAUGUUAAAGCUUAAGUAGUAAAGUAUUUCUUUUACAUAGAAUAAUUGUUGUGCAAUUCAACUAUACGUGA